rnacentral:lncRNA from 1 species
CUCCAUGUUGUUAGGACCUGCAACAAAUAGACAGAUUUUAGAACCAUGCUGGUGUUUCUUUUAUGCUGCAUACAGUACAUAACAGGAACUAAACAAGCAUCUAUGUGUCAAAGCUAGAGAAAGAACAACACCAGAGAGGUAAUAAAUAGGAUGACUAUCAAUUGCCAAUUGACGAGCAUAAAAACACUAACCGUCAGCUCAUGUAAACUGAGCUGAGCAAAGGAAGGAGAAG